UCUACGGGGGGCAGCAGUGAGGAAUAUUGGUCAAUGGGCGAAAGCCUGAACCAGCCAAGCAGCGUGAAGGAUGACGGCUCUAUGGGUUGUAAACUGCUUUUAUAUGGGAGUAAAAUGUCUUACGAGUGGGGUUUUGUAAGUACCAUAUGAAUAAGGAUCGGCUAACUCCGUGCCAGCAGCCGCGGUAAUACGGAGGAUCCGAGCGUUAUCCGGAUUUAUUGGGUUUAAAGGGAGCGUAGGUGGAUUUUUAAGUUAGGGGUGAAAGUCGGAGGCUCAACAGCGGGAUUGCAGUUGAAACUGGAAGACUUGAGUGCGGUAGAGGUGGGCGGAAUUCGUGGUGUAGCGGUGAAAUGCAUAGAUAUCACGAAGAACACCGAUUGCGAAGGCAGUUCGCUGGACCGCAACUGACACUGAGGCGCGAAAGUGUGGGUAUCAAACAGGAUUAGAUACCCUAGUAGUC
rnacentral:rRNA from 1 species